GGUGAUCGAGUUACUGCUGUGGAUGGUUUAACGAAGUGACGAUGGCAAGGACAAUUUUCAGAGAUAUUUUAAUGGAGAAUUGUGGUUAAUAUAGGGUUGUUGGAGUUUCUAGGUGAUUGAACUGGGUUAUUGGGUUGCUGGUGAUUCUAGGUGAUCGAGCUUUAUUGGUGAUCAAGAUACUGCUAUGUAUUUAACAAGGUGCCAAUGCAAAGAGAAUAUUCAGUGGUAAGGAAAGAUUGUUCCUGACGAAGAAUUGUUAUUAAUAUAAGACUGUAGGUAUUUCUAGUCGAUCAAGCUACUAUGUAUGAUGUACUCCUCUAAGCUCCCUACUCAUUGCAAAGGUAACACCAUUCUCCAUCUUUCUUUUCCAUCACAUUACUAACUCGUCCUCGAUUAAUUAAAAUUCUUAUUCACAGACAUCUCAGGACAGUUUCCUAUUGCAAGCAAGCGAACCAAAGGCAUCUCGCAAGAAAGAAAUAUCAAUUCACGGAUCACCGUUGAAACCUUCCAACAAGUAUUUCACUGGUACGAUCAACGUAGACACCUACGUACUCUACAUCUUCGUUCCCAAGCGCGCG